GAUGAACGCUAGCGGGAGGCUUAACACAUGCAAGUCGAGGGAUAGAUGUAGCAAUACAUUGAAAACCGGCGCACGGGUGAGUAACGCGUAUGCAACCUGCCCUUUACCGGGGGAUAGCCCGUCGAAAGGCGGAUUAAUACCCCAUAAUAUCAUUUUUCUGCAUGGGAUGAUGAUUAAAGCUUCGGUGGUAAAGGAUGGGCAUGCGUGACAUUAGCUAGUUGGUAGGGUAACGGCCUACCAAGGCUACGAUGUCUAGGGGUUCUGAGAGGAAGGUCCCCCACACUGGUACUGAGACACGGACCAGACUCCUACGGGUGGCUG
rnacentral:rRNA from 1 species